GGAACAUUUUAGAUCAUUAUUUUCUAAAUGUGGUAUCUUAUUAUUUACGUGUUUUUUUGGCUUUUUUUUUUGGCUUUUUUUUUGGGCUUUUUUCCCCUCCAUCAUUUGACAAACUGCUAUGAUACAGAAAAUCAAUAAUGUUAUAUAUUUUUUAAUUAAAUUCAGGAAUAAUAAAAAGGUAUGACCUAACACUAAAUGGACUAAUAAACACUAACCACACCCAAGAAAGAAAUUCUUAACCAGGAAACAAAGCAAAACAAUAAUUUAGGUUGUAAUACCCGCUAAGUUAAAAAAAAAAAAAAUGUUUCUUCAGCACACACACUUCAUUAAUUUUUUUACAUAGAAAAACAUAGAAAAAGAUUCAUAGCUGGUAUCAUGGGAAACGCUAGCAUCGAAAAAAAAUUGCUGUUCUCACCUGCUACCCACACACACACAUCCGUGCUAAGAUAUGCUAGCAAACACGGAUGUGUGUGCUCAUACACUCUAAUCAAAAACCCACCCAGAAACACGUGAACAUGAAUGGUAAUGUCCUCUCUGUCGCUAUCGCUCACUUUCUAUUCCAGUCACACUCACGCUUGUACACACACUUCACUAGGCUUGGUGUGAUGGUGGCUAAUUUAGCGCUUAUGUGGUAUAGAGGUAAUAGGAUCUGUAAGCAUAGUCUCUCUCUCUAUCUCUAUCUCUGUCUCUCUGUGAUUUUCUUAAGUGUUUAACUGAUCUGGUGCCCUUUAUCAAGUAACAGCGUCUUUUCGGAAAAAGGUUGGGCUCUUUAGCCAAAUAGCUUCUUGCUAAUUAUGAGCACAUUUCAUUCUAAAGGUCACUUGCUACUUACACACAUGUAAGAAUUUAAAAGUGUACUGUGGGUGUGGUUAUGAGUCCAUCCACUUGUUUUUAUGUAACUUAAUAUGUUAAUAUAGAAAAUAUGAUGUGGUGUUCUUUAAUAAACACACGACACACAGUGGUUUAUUCCUUACAUACAACACAGCAGAUCGCAGAAACAGAAAACGAGCCAACCUGCGUGCGAUAGUACUGCGUUUUCUAAAAAUAAGCACGUUUAAUAAGCAUAAACAUUCAUACAUGUCAACUGAAAGGUUUUCACAUAAAAUUCAUUUUAAAGAAAUAUUUCAAACGAGAUGAACGGGAAUAGGGUGAAGUUUAACGCCAAGAUUUAAAAAAUAACAUCAAUACUUAGAAUUGGAUGAAUGGGAGUACCUCAAGGCUCAGCUCUAGGCACAAUCUAAAUGUCCUAUCUUUAAUAAAGUGCAAUAAAACAAUAAAAAAAAGAAUAAACCUAGAAAUGUCAUAAUGUCUAUUAUAUUGUCAAAUACAUAUUCAGCAAAAUUUAAGAGGGAAAUCAUGUAUUUAGAAUUGGAUUAAUGAAAAACCUCAAGGGUGAGCUGUAGGCCCGAUCAAGAUUAGAAAAAGGACCCAAUAUAAAUGACGUAUCAAAACGAUUCCAUAUUCAUAUUUUCUACCUCACUACAGUCCAGAGAAGCUUUUUUUUAAUGUUCUGAGGAAUGCAAACAAUGGCUCUGCUAAUUAUAUUAUAUAGCGCUUUGUUUUCUAAUGACGUUUUCGGUCCAGAACGUCAGUGUUAUGAAUUAUUCAUAUAUCCUGUGAUCUAGCGGGCAGAGAGUAAUAAAUGCACAUCCGCCCCUCUCCUUUCUGCUUCAGAAAAAUUCAAUCAAAAUGCAGGCUGAUGUAUAUAUCAGACCAUAGUUUUUGUAGGGAAACAAAAAGAAUAGUGUGUAAGUCUUAUCAAAAAGAGAAUAUUCCUUCGGUCACAAAAAAAGCCUGAAAAUCCCACAGACAUAAAUAUCCUACCAUACCAUUCCAUAGAUAUUACCACACCAUAAAUAUUCUACCACUCAGUAUCCACCUUAAGCCUUAUAUUUAUUUACAUUCAUCCAUAUAAUUAUAUAAUUUUUACAGUUUUAUAACAAGAAAGUUUACACUGUGCUAUUUUCGUUGGGACAUUCAGUGUCGCACAUAAGACUCUCGCAUGGUAAAAACAUUCUUCAGCGAUUAAUUGGUAGCUGAUUUAGUACUGUACUUUGGCAACCAAAGACAUCUGACGACAAAGUUCUGUCACCUUGAGAAAUUUUGAAUUAAAAUCUAUGUGAGUGUGAGCGCUGUUGAAAGCCAAUAGUAUGUAUAGUAUGACCAAUAGGAGGAUGGUAUGACCAAUAGGAGGAUGGUAUGACCAAUAGGAGGCACUGUAUGACCAAUAGGAGGAGGUAUGACCAAUAGGAGGAGGUAUGACCAAUAGGAGGAUGGUAUGACCAAUAGGAGGCAUGGUAUCACCAAUAGGAGGAUGGUAUGACCAAUAGGAGGAUGGUAUGACCAAUAGGAGGCACUGUAUGACCAAUAGGGGAGGUAUGACCAAUAGGAGACAUGAUAUGAUCAAUAGGAUGUAUGACAAUAGGAAGGAUGGUAUUACCAAGAAGAGGAUGGUAUGACCAAUAGGAGGAGGUAUGACCAAUAGGAGGAUGUUAUGACCAAUAGGAGACAUGGUAUGACCAGUAAGAGGAUGGUAUGACCAAUAGCAGACAUGGUAUGACCAAUAGGAGGAUGAUAUGACCAAUAAGAGGAUGGUAUGACCAAUAGGAGACAUGAUAUGAUCAAUAGGAGACAUGGUAUGACCAAUAGGAGGACGGUAUGACCAUUAGGAGGCAUGGUAUGACCAAUAGGAGGCAUGAUAUGAUCAAUAGGAGGCAUGGUAUGACCAAUAGGAGACAUGAUAUGAUCAAUAGGAGAC
ensembl:lncRNA